CCUACGGGAGGCAGCAGUAGGGAAUCUUUCACAAUGGGCGAAAGCCUGAUGGAGCAACGCCGCGUGCAGGAUGAAGGCCUUCGGGUUGUAAACUGCUUUUAUAAGCGAGAAAUAUGAUGGUAACUUAUGAAUAAGGAUCGGCUAACUACGUGCCAGCAGCCGAGGUCAUACGUAGGAUCCGAGCAUUAUCCGGAGUGACUGGGUGUAAAGAGUUGCGUAGGUGGCAUAAUAAGUAGCUAGUGAAAUCUGGUGGCUCAACCAUUCAGACUAUUAGCUAAACUGUUAAGCUCGAGACCGUUAGGGGUAACUGGAAUUUCUAGUGUAGGAGUGAAAUCCGUAGAUAUUAGAAGGAACACCAAUAGCGUAGGCAGGUUGCUGGGACGGUUCUGACACUAAGGCACGAAAGCGUAGGGAGCAAACGGGAUUAGAUACCCCUGUAGUC
rnacentral:rRNA from 1 species